GGAGGGGUGUCCGAGUGGUCGAAGGUGCUUGCUUGGAGAGCAGGUGUGCCGUAAGGUACCGUGGGUUCGAAUCCCACCCUCUCCGCCA
rnacentral:tRNA from 1 species